UGAAUGAUCAGGCCUAUUAACUGAAGGUAUUAUAAUUGGAACAAGUAUGGGAUGCUUGUCUAAAGGAGUAUAUAACUGCUGUGAAGAAGAACGCACAGAACUCUCCAUAAAUGGAAACACAGUUUCAUCAUGGACCACAUGUCUUGAGAUAAACAAUUUUUCAAAACUCAAAUCCCGCCCAAUAAAUCCCACUCUUCCAGUCUCACCCAUUUUUCAUCUCCCUCCAAUUUUCCAUACCCAAAAUCCAUUUUCUCGAUUUCUCUCCAUGGCCGACUACGAGCCUCCGUCGUUCUCUCUCGGACUCGACCUUGGUUUCGAUUCGCAGCUCCAACCAGCUGCCGCGAACCACUCCACACCCGCCGCAGCUCCAAACUCUUCGCGGGGUUCCAAUGCCCAUACACCCGUUGAGGUAGAUGAGGAGUUAGAGCCUCAAAUCACGGGCCCGGAUCCAGAUCCUGGGUCCUGACCCUGCCGACCGCUCAAGCGGCUUAAGAGAGGGGAGGCUGAGAAGCCGAACCUACGCCGUGUCGUAACGACGAUAUCGAAGAUUUCUCGUCUGGGGAAGAUUUUGUUCAAGGUUUAUCGUUCGGCAGCCUACAGACGGUAUAAGAAGGAAAGUGGACGUUUUAAAGAAAAAUGUUCCCAAGGAGAGGUGAGGCUGACAGUUAAUGGCCAUGUACCAAAAGUAUUUCUGUACCAUUUCUUGUCGAUAAUUUUACUAUCCGGAAUCUUCAUAAACUCUUUGUGU